rnacentral:rRNA from 1 species
AGGACGAACGCUGGCGGCGCGCUUAACACAUGCAAGUCGAGCGAGAGCCAGACCUUCGGGUCUGGGGACAGCGGCGAACGGGUGAGUAACACGUGGGUAAUCUGCCCUCGAUUCUGGGGAUAGCCCGGGGAAACCCGGAUUAAUACCGGAUAGCCUCUUGAGCUUUCGGGCUCUCGAGAAAAGGUAGCUUCGGCCUCCGAUCGAGGAUGAGCCCGCGGUGGAUUAGCUUGGUUGGUGGGGUAAUGGCCUACCAAGGCGACGAUCCAUAGCUGGUCUGGAGAGGACGAUCAGCCACACGUGGGACUGACGACGACGGCCCAGACCUCCGUACGGGA